GACAAUCACUGUUCAUAUCGAACACACCCGAUUUUAUUUUUCCCAUAAUUCUUUGCAACGUGCUUGGCCGACGCUAACAAUAGGCGCUAAGUUAUACCCGGCCGAGCUGUCCAGCAAUAAAGACGUGCUUAGUGUGUGAAGGGGGUAUCGUGUUAGAAGCCUGUGUGGCAUGUUUUAGUUUCACAAGUUCAGCAUUUGACGCGGACACGGAUAGCUGACCGUGUGUCAUAUUGUUGAUGUUGAGAAGAUGAUGUUAUGGUGAAGUCGAUGACGAUGCGAUGUUCAUGUUGAUGACGACGAUGAUGUUAUGGUGAUGAUGACGACGACGAUGAUGAUGGUCAUGUCGAUGAAGAUGAUGUAGAUGAUGUCGUUCAUGGUGACGUCGGUGAUGAUUAUGAAGUAGAUGAUUAUGGUGAUGACAAUGAUAUCUAUUAUGACUAUGGUGUUGUAGUUGAUGAUGUUGACGAUAGUGUCGAUGAUUAUGAUGGCGAUGGUGAUGAUGAUGAUUGUGGUGACGAAACUACUCUAGUUGUGGUUGUCCGUAGUUGGUCCAGGACUACAGCCCCGGAGAUUCGGACACUCUUCUAAUUUAUUUUUGGUCAUUUGUAUAAACAUCAUAUUUUUUCUUGUUGAGUGAAAGUUGUGUGAGUGUUUGUGUGGUUUAGUGUUUAUAUUUCUAUCUUUUCUUUCUUUCUCUUAUUUUUUUUGUUAUUAAAUUUUGUUAAAUUUAA